rnacentral:rRNA from 1 species
UACGGAGGGUGCAAGCGUUAUCCGGAUUUACUGGGUUUAAAGGGUGCGUAGGUGGCUUUGUAAGUCAGUGGUGAAAGCCCGGAGCUCAACUCCGGAACUGCCAUUGAUACUGCUUAGCUUGAAUCAAGUAGAGGUGGAUGGAAUAUUACAUGUAGCGGUGAAAUGCUUAGAUAUGUAAUAGAACACCGAUUGCGAAGGCAGUUCACUAUGCUUGUAUUGACACUGAGGCACGAAAGCGUGGGGAUCAAACAGG